GAAGGUCUAAGCCUCUGUCCAUCCUUAAUUAGGGAUAAGUUGCACCUGCAGAGACCCAUCUUGCCUUCUUGCAGCAAACACACACCUGUGGGUUCUUGCCAAAUGCAGGGAACAAACAAGAAGGUCAAAGAGAUCACGACAAAGCUUGCUUUUCCUUGUGACCCAAACUCAUGGGCAGUGUCCCCAACCUGUUGCUGGUUCUCCAGUUUCUGCCUGCUUCACCUCUGGUGCCAUUUGACCCUUUCUGCCUCGGUAAAGUUCCAAGCUCCAGCUCAGCAUGCUUGGACCUACAGCACAGUGUGAUCCUUCAGACCCUGGAAUGUGGCCUCAUGCCUGCCUGAACCUUGCGGCCACUCAGGCCUCUGGCUCCCAGCCCUGGCCCCUUCCGGCAGUGGCCCAUGCCUGUGCUCUAGAAAGAUUAUCACAAAUAACACCAUCAGCAAGACAGUCACAACAUCACAGGCACCUAAGGAAGUGGGACACAGGCCCUGAGUGUAGACAAGAUGCUGCCCAAGGACACACCUGAGCACUCUGGAGAGGGGCCAGACCAGCAGAAGGAAAAGGAAGACACCACCAUCCUUACCACAGCCCAGAUGUUUAUAAAUUGAAGUUUGCUGCAGUGCUUGGAAGAGGUUAUACAAUUGUUGUGAUGCAAUGUUCAAGGCAGACGGCUACCCACAACUCAGAGGCCAAGACAAACGGGAAGAUAUUCAUAGCAGCCAUCACAUAAAGAUAAUUCAUUUUCAGUGUCUGGGAGCUGAGGGGUCAGCAGAUGGACUGUUAAGCAUUUAGGCAUUAAAACAAAGGAGCUUAACAAAUAGAAAAGGACAGAAGGAGAGAGAUGGAGAGAAGAAAGACUGAUCUCCUUUGGAAACAAUGUAGCAUCUGAGCCAAUUAACUAAAACACAAUUAUGUAGUUAUGGGCAACACAGGCAAAAGGGAAAAGACAUUCUCCCAACCCCCUUGCUCUGCCAUUUGGGUGGUGUGUGUCACCCAAGGUUCAAAGCACUUUCUUAGCACCAGAAUAAAGAUUAUACCAGGAAACAUCUUCCUUUCCCUCACCGGCACCCCCCACCCCCCAACAUCAUUGUCUAGAUGGCUGGCCUGAUGGCAGUAAAGGAAAAAUGACAGUUUGAAUUUAGCAAAAUAUCACAGUAUCUUUUUGGGGAAUGGCAAGAAAGAAUUACAAAGCUAUUUCUUCACUAACUCUUUUUUUAAAAACCCAUAAAACCUGAAGGAAAAGCAUCAUUUUGCAGUUGUAGCUCUUCUUUGAAAAUGUGCCAGGGCACACGUGUUGCUUGCAUGCUGCCAUGAUGUGUGCUCUGCCUGCCCGGUGUCCCCAGCAGCACUGCGGGAGAACACAGCUGUCACCAGCUCAGCUGGUGGCCAACAAGGCAAAGUCCAGCACUCACACAGCACACAGGAAAUCUUUCUAAUCAACUUGUAAAAAAGAACAUACAUAUAGUUUAACUCUUUGGAGUUAAUGUCAAAAAUAGAAUGUUCACAAAAGGAUACAUCAUUUAGACUCAGUGAUUAAAAGUCAGCCAGUAUUCAUCAACUAUGAGGUGAGUCAUGGCCUUGUGCAGAGGAGCAAGGCUUCCAGGGCUCGACUUUCCUCACACCCGCCCCUCAGUGUCCGUGCCUCUCAGAUGUGCCCCCUCCAUCCCCACCUGUGGAUAACCCGACCCUCUCUACCUGUCCCCUUUGCCAGGGCUGUCUCCUGCCGGGAUCUGUACCUAACUGACUCCACUAAAGCUAUUUUCCUCUCGAAAUCCAACGCCAUCAUUCUAAAACCAACGCCAUCAUUCUAAAACACAGCUAUGACCGUUCUCCUGGCCUCCUUCAGUGCUUUGGAAGCCCCACAUCACCUGCCGGGCAAUCCAGAAGCUUGGCAGGGCCCGUAAGCACGUCACCAUCUCACUCAACUCACCUUUCAGCCUCCUCCCUGCUCACCCUCCUCCAGUGCACCCUGUCCCUUCCCGACACUCACAGCCUCUGGCUCGCACUCUCGCCCGCUGUGGAACGUCUGCACUCACGCCUCUCGCGGCGCGCAGCUGUGCCCACCAGUCCCCACCAUCGCUUGGGCCAGUAGAAUAAUACCAGCUCCUUCAUGGAACUUUCCAGCAUUCCAGGCAGUUGGCUUUGUUCUGACCCAUCAAAGCAUUUUGCAUGCACAUCUACUAGUAAGGCAACAAUUUGUUCUGCUGUUGUGUCUAGUUGCUGCCUUCCCUCCUUAGUUCUCCUAGGCAGGUGCUGAGGAGAGGAAUCAUUUGUCUUUGUGUGUCCUGUGCCAGCACAGAGCAGGGCCUAGUAAUAACCGAUAAAUGCAUGACUAACAGAAGUCAGGAGUUUACAACUGAGAAAGGAAGACAAAAUGUGUGAAGUGAAAUACUUAACAACAGAGAGAAGCUGUAGUUCAACUCUACCAAUUAGAGGAAUAUGAGGGAGAAUCAACAAGUGUCCUAAAAGUUCCAAGGCUGGCAUUUCAGGGGAAAGCCUAUCUAAGAGGAGGUUUCUGAGUCUUCAAAGAGUGAAAAGGAUUGGAAUCGAAGGACAGAAGAUGGAAGGGCAUCCCAGGAGGCUGGAAUGUGAGGGAAUAAAGGAAAGCAGGAAGGCUCAAACUGUGUUUGGAAGCUAAAAGUGAACAGCCCUAGAACCAUUUUUGGAGGCUGAGUAAACUAAUCCUCAAUACCAAAGGGCCUGUCCCCUUCAUUCUGCAGAGAGUGCAAGGCUGGAACAAGAAAAGGUGACCACCACGUCCACUUCUGAAGUCCUGAACACACCAUAAUGCCCAGUGCCACUCACCUACAGGAUGUUGGCCUUGUGGGGACAGACAGCAGUGCUGAGCCACCUGUGACUGGAAUCGGCUCUUCCAGAUAUUGUGGGGGACACAUAACCCUGGACCUUGUUUCUGCAUAGCUGGAGUUCAUUUUUCCACUCUGAAUCUAGGUAGGAAGUAACUCUUCUCACCAAAAGGGCCCCUCACCUUCUCUACAGCCAUUGAAUCCCACAAAGAUGCAGAGAACUCAGAGAACAGGUUAAGCGAGCUGAAUGCAGUGGCAUCUUGCAGAGGCUGCGGAGAAGCCGAGCCUGCCUGCCGCAGAAGCGAGUGCUCAAAGAGACUGCUGGGACAAACGCAUAAAGGAAGGUUAGCAUCUGGUAAGAAGAACUGUGAAGACAAGUUGACAUUCUAGUGCAGUCUGAACAAGAACACUACAGGACAGUGAGAAAAGACCCAGACUGGACCAGCACAGAGACCAUAUACAUGGCAACACUGGUGGGGGUUUGAGUGAACCCCCUGGAGGGGGAUGAAUGAGGCUGCCAUAGCCCGCUGUGGUCUUCAUGUGUGUUGCAGGAGACAGGGUGUCUAAGGAGCAGACGGUAACAAAAACCAAAACUGCAAACGCAUUCCUGCCAGAACCCAGCUCAUUCUCCAUGCACGGCACUAAAGAAGGAUGGAAACUGCUUUCUACAACCUAUACCCCAGCCCCUACCCACUGGGGCCUCCUGGGUGGUGAGAUCAGAAGCUGCAGGACAGGAAGUGGGUGCUAAGGGUUGCUCCAAGCAGCUUCGAGCCAAAAUGUGAGCCUGCAGCUGGGCUCUUCUUGCCUCUUCUACCUGUGAGCCUCUUCUACCUGCUGGCCAGUCGUGAUGAUGGGGAUGUGAUGUGAUGGAGCCCCAGGCAAAGGGCAUCCAGUGGUCUCAUCACCAAGGGCACACCAGCGGCACGGAACCCAUAACAACAAAAAUACAUUUUGAUUAGCAGAAGCAUUCAAUAAGUAAAAGAUACACUGACUGAAACCAUCUUUGCAUCACAACGUUAAAUGGAUAACUGACAAUUAUCCUGGUAAUUAGAUCAAUGUAAGCAGACCACUCUUUCUCCCCCUGCCCCGCCCAUGAAACAUCUCCAUCAAGGAGCCCAGUGAUCUACAUUGCCAAAAUUAACUGGGUGAUUAUGAAAGCUAACUGUGUCCCUUUAUUUUUUUAAGGGUGAUAAUUCAUCUCUGUAUCAUUCUGAAACCCAUAAAUGCUUGAGAGUUCUUGAAAGGGCUGUCCUCAUUUAUAGCCAACCUAGUAAGUACCAACUGAAUGCUUGAGAUGUUUACUAAGAAGGCCAUAGUUAAAUUUCAAAGCUGAAAACCAGCAGAAGCAAAACAUUUUGGUUAUUCUCACUCCCCUUCCUUUCCAUGCAUGCCUGGUUUCCGCUAAUGCAUGGCACCCAGGCUAACUCAGGCCUCUGUAGCGUUUCCUCCUCCCAACCAUCACCCAGCCCUACCCAUUUUCCACACUGCCCCCAGAAUUGUCUUUCUGAAACUUAGACUUCACUUCCUUCUUUAAAGACCUUUCAUUGUUCUCCAUUGCCUGGAGAAUAAAUCCCAAAUUCCCAAAGUACAAGCCAGGUUCCAGAACCCUCCUAACCACCUAGCACCAGUCUAUCUUUCCAGAGUUAGUUAUAUCCUUAAGGGACAGGAAGCUUGUAAAUCCGUGGUUCCCAAAUUUUAAUGUAUGUGAUAAUUAUCUAGGAGCUUUAAAAAAGCUUGAUGCCCAGGUCACAUCCCACAUCAAUUAAAUCAGAAUGUCUGAGGUGAAGCCAGGGCCUGCCACCUUAGGCUAAUACCAAAACCCAGAACGUAGCCCAGGGGGUCCACCUUGUUAGCCCUACUUGAGGAAGAUCUUUCAGCAGUGGGUGGAGGGACAGAGCGCAGGAGAGCCCUGCAAGGGGUAAACUAGCCCUUCCAUGGACUGACACAGUCUUGCCGUCCUGCCUCAGAGGGGCAAGUGUGAGUCAGUUUUCUUGGGAAGGAAACUCCAAGGAGGAGAAUAAGACAAGGUUGAGCAGGUGAAAGCCACUCGUGGUUCAAGCAUGUGAUGUUCACACAGUGAAUACUUGGGCCAAGAACUGCUAGUUCCGAGGGGGAAAGGGUCGGUCUGAUUCCCCGGGAGCCUGGCGAAGGUCUUAGUCUGACUUGCUCCAAGGCCAGUGGGAACCAAAGUGGCUUUAGGGUGACGCCGACAGCACUACUCAGACAAGGCUCUAGCUCUUCUAUAAGGCCCAAAGCCCAAACCACCCAAGAAAAGUCUUGCAUCCAAGAAUAACCAGGACCAGCUUCUAACUCUUAGGACCCUGUGCUCUGGUCCGGCCGGAGGCAGAAGGCCGCGCCUCCCUGUCGUUUCCCUGGCGAGUCGCCUGACACGGCUGAAGCUCUCUCUGGCCUCUGCUGGGCUCCACAGCGUCCCCAGCUUUCGCAGGCGCUCGCCUCACUCGUGGUCGCCUGUUUACGUCUGGAUGUCCCGGAACGACUGCAAGCUCCCGGAGGGAGGGGGCGCCGAGGAAGCGCUUCCGGCUGGCGGCUGCCAGCGGGCCAGCGACACGGACGGACGCCGCGCGUCGUUCCCGGGCAGUCGCGAGCCGGGAGUCGCUGCCUCAUCGUAGAAACUCUCCCAGUACAGACCAAACACGGCUUAUUUGGGUUAAAAAAAAAAGGAUGCCUGCUUUUCUGACGGUUUCUUGUUUUCUUAUAAAGUCCAUGUACUUUCUGAUAAGAGUGAACAGAGCCAAAUGACGGCCAGCCCGGCGGGUCAGCAAGUUCGCGCACCCGGAGGCGCUCGGAGGGCCUGGAGGGCGGG